CAGUAGCCGCGGGAAAACGGAGGGAGCUAGCGUUGUUCGGAAUCACUGGGCGUAAAGCGCACGUAGGCGGCUAUUCAAGUCAGGGGUGAAAGCCCGGGGCUCAACCCCGGAACUGCCUUUGAAACUAGAUAGCUUGAAUCUUGGAGAGGCGAGUGGAAUUCCGAGUGUAGAGGUGAAAUUCGUAGAUAUUCGGAAGAACACCAGUGGCGAAGGCGACUCGCUGGACAAGUAUUGACGCUGAGGUGCGAAAGCGUGGGGAGCAAACAGGAUUAGAUACCCCUGUAGUCCCUGUCUCUUAUAC
rnacentral:rRNA from 1 species